rnacentral:rRNA from 1 species
GCUAGAGCUAGCCCAAYUACCCAUAAACACAACUAACAUUAGAAAGUAAAACAAAACAUUUAGUUACUCUAAAAAGUAUAGGAGAUAGAAAUUUAACUCGGCGCUAUAGAAAAAGUACCGCAAGGGAAUGAUGAAAGAAAAAACUAAAAGCACUAUACAGCAAAGAUUACCCCUUGUACCUUUUGCAUAAUGAAUUAGCUAGAAUAACCUAACAAAGAGAACUUCAGCUAGGCCCCCCGAAACCAGACGAGCUACCCAUAAACAAUCUAUUACAGGAUGAACUCGUCUAUGUUGCAAAAUAGUGAGAAGAUUUAUGGGUAGAGGUGAAAAGCCUAACGAGCCUGGUGAUAGCUAGAAAUAAGGCCCACUUUACCAAAGCGCCUUUAACCAAAUAGAUGAUAUAAUCUCAAUCUAAACAGUUUAUCUAAACAUAUCACCCGUAGAGCUCGGGUUU